rnacentral:rRNA from 1 species
GAUGAACGCUGGCGGCGUGCCUAAUACAUGCAAGUCGAGCGAACAGACGAGGAGCUUGCUCCUCUGACGUUAGCGGCGGACGGGUGAGUAACACGUGGAUAACCUACCUAUAAGACUGGGAUAACUUCGGGAAACCGGAGCUAAGACCGGAUAAUAUAUUGAACCGCAUGGUUCAAUAGUGAAAUACGGUUUUGCUGUCACUUAUAGAUGGAUCCGCGCCGCAUUAGCUAGUUGGUAAGGUAACGGCUUACCAAGGCGACGAUGCGUAGCCGACCUGAGAGGGUGAUCGGCCACACUGGAACUGAGACACGGUCCAGACUCCUACGGGAGGCAGCAGUAGGGAAUCUUCCGCAAUGGGCGAAAGCCUGACGGAGCAACGCCGCGUGAGUGAUGAAGGUCUUCGGAUCGUAAAACUCUGUUAUUAGAGAAGACCAAAUGUGUAAGUAACUAUGCACGUCUUGACGGUACCUAAUCAGAAAUCCACGGCUAACUACGUG